AAACCCAUAGAUUCAGAGUAUGGAAAAAGUGUGUUUUCUCCACAAACUGUGUUUUGUGCCUUCACGACUGUAUUCUACUGCAGACUAGUACUCUACCUUCAGUACUGUAUUCUACUGCCUUCAGUACUGUAUUCUACUGCAGACCAGUACUCUACCUUCAGUACUGUAUUCUACUGCAGACCAGUACUCUACCUUCAGUACUGUAUUCUACUGCCUUCAGUACUGUAUUCUACUGCCUUCAGUACUGUAUUCUACUGCAGACCAGUACUCUACCUUCAGUACUGUAUUCUACUGCCGACCAGUACUCUACCUUCAGUACUGUAUUCUACUGCCGACCACUACUCUACCUUCAGUACUGUAUUCUACUGCAGACCAGUACUCUACCUUCAGUACUGUAUUCUACUGCCGACCAGUACUCUACCUUCAGUACUGUAUUCUACUGCCGACCAGUACUCUACCUUCAGUACUGUAUUCUACUGCCGACCACUACUCUACCUUCAGUACUGUAUUCUACUGCAGACCAGUACUCUACCUUCAGUACUGUAUUCUACUGCAGACCAGUACUCUACCUUCAGUACUGUAUUCUACUGCAGACCAGUACUCUACCUUCAGUACUGUAUUCUACUGCAGACCAGUACUCUACCUUCAGUACUGUAUUCUACUGCAGACCAGUACUGUAUUCUACUGCCUUCAGUACUGUAUUCUACUGCAGACCAGUACUCUACCUUCAGUACUGUAUUCUACUGCCGACCAGUACUCUACCUUCAGUACUGUAUUCUACUGCCGACCAGUACUCUACCUUCAGUACUGUAUUCUACUGCCGACCAGUACUCUACCUUCAGUACUGUAUUCUACUGCCGACCAGUACUCUACCUUCAGUACUGUAUUCUACUGCCGACCAGUACUCUACCUUCAGUACUGUAUUCUACUGCAGACCAGUACUCUACCUUCAGUACUGUAUUCUACUGCAGACCAGUACUCUACCUUCAGUACUGUAUUCUACUGCAGACCAGUACUCUACCUUCAGUACUGUAUUCUACUGCAGACCAGUACUCUACCUUCAGUACUGUGUUCUACUGCAGACCAGUACUCUACCCUCAGCACAGUGUUCUACUGCAGACCAGUACUCUACCUUCAGUACUGUAUUCUACUGCAGACCAGUACUCUACCUUCAGUACUGUAUUCUACUGCCGACCAGUACUCUACCUUCAGUACUGUAUUCUACUGCCGACCAGUACUCUACCUUCAGUACUGUAUUCUACUGCAGACCAGUACUCUACCUUCAGUACUGUAUUCUACUGCAGACCAGUACUCUACCUUCAGUACUGUGUUCUACUGCAGACCAGUACUCUACCCUCAGCACAGUGUUCUACUGCAGACCAGUACUCUACCUUCAGUACUGUAUUCUACUGCAGACCAGUACUCUACCUUCAGUACUGUAUUCUACUGCCGACCAGUACUCUAUCUUCAGUACUGAGGUCAGUUUCAGCCUGCAGGAUGAAACAUGGAAGCCCACCGCAAGUAGGCAGUUGGGAGUACAGUAGAUUAUUGUACAGUAGGAGGCUUGUCCCAAAUGGCACCCUAUUCCCUAUAUGA
ensembl:lncRNA